AUGGCCAGGCUUGCUUCCUCAUUCCUGCUGCUGAUUGUCCCUGCAUAUGUCCUGUUCCAGGUUACCCAGAGGGAGCCUGGCCCUGGGCUGUUGCAGCCCUCUCAGACCCUCAAACUGACCUGCUCUUUCUCUGGGAUUUCACUGAGCACUUACAGUGUAGGUGUGGGCUGGUUCUGUCAACUCCCAGGAAAGGGUCUGGAUUGGCUGGCAGACACAUGGUGGACUAACAAUAAGUACUACAACCCAUCCCUAAAGAGCUGGCUUACCAUCUCCAAGGACACCACCAACAGCCAAGUAUUCCUCAUGAUUACUAGUGUGGACACUGCAGAUAAUGCCACAUACUACUGUGCUCAGGCUCCACACAGAUACAACCUUGGUUGA